rnacentral:rRNA from 1 species
UACGUAGGGGGGCUAGCGUUGUCCGGAUUUAUUGGGCGUAAAGAGCGUGUAGGCGGCCAGGUAGGUCUGCUGUGAAAACUCGAGGCUCAACCUCGAGACGUCGGCGGAAACCAUCUGGCUAGAGUCCGGAAGAGGAGAGUGGAAUUCCUGGUGUAGCGGUGAAAUGCGCAGAUAUCGGGAAGAACACCCGUGGCGAAGGCGGCUCUCUGGGACGGUACUGACGCUGAGACGCGAAAGCGUGGGGAGCGAACAGG